rnacentral:rRNA from 1 species
CAUGAUAGUGAGUAAUAGUAACCUAUCGUAUCGCAUGCUUAAAGUAGCGAUGAGUCUUUCAAGUUUCUGCCCUAUCAGCUUUCGAUGGUAGCAUAUGGGUCUACCAUGGCAGUAACGGGUAACGAAGAAUUUGGGUUCGAUUUCGGAGAGGGAGCCUGAGAGAUGGCUGCCACAUCCAAGGAAGGCAGCAGGCGGGUAAAUUACCCAAUCCUGACACAGGGAGGUAGUGACAAUAAAU